AUGAGGGAAGAGUGCAGAACUGAUAAAAAAAGGACUGAUUUUGUAUUUUUAAAAACAAUCUGGGUUUGGCAAUCAUCCACCAUGCUCUAGAAAACCAAGAUGUAUUCAUGAAUCUUCCUAUUGUAUUUUGUGGCUUUUUAUUUACAGGAUAGAACUAUAAAUGAAAAAUUAUGUUAACUGCUUUUGUAAUGCAAAAAACAGGAACAGCUUUUUCCUCCCAUCUUGCUUGCAGAAUCAGAGCCAGUUCAAAAAUAUCUCUCUCUUGUGUCCUAAGUUCUCUAUGUGGAGUGGACCUACUGACAUCCUUAGUCACUGAACACCAGAAAUCCUCUCUGGCUUCCUUGAAAUUCUGAAGUGACUACUGUUUUAAACAGAAAGAUCCAUUAAAAUGAAAAGGUUGACAUGUUUCUCCAUGAUUCAUGCUAGAAUAGAUCUCACACCCUUGAAGUCAUAGGAAACCCAUUCAGUCCAAUUGGUGCAGGGUCAAACACUUAAUCCUACUGUUACAGAAAAAGGGUAUCAUCAUCUCCCAUGCUGUUGAAAGGCUUUCAGAUGAAAGACUUUAUGUAGUCAAAAAGCAGUAGUAACAGGUACCAGUGCGAUGUCAGAAAUGGAACUUAAGCCUGGAAGUAGUAGAAACAUCAGCAGAAGGUAGAAUGAUUGUGCCAUCCAGACUAGAGUCCAGGAUGAUUGAACAGUGUAAGGAGGAGAUGGCAGAACAUGGGUGUCAGAAGUUGGCCUCACAGCAAUGAUGAGUAAGAAGGUCCCUUCAGAUCUGUCAACAUCAGGGGAUGCUUGCAGGAUACAGCAGCUCUUCCUUACUGUGGCGUGGGCUCCACAGAACAUCAAGCUGAGCUCAUGGGUCAGGCCAGGUGGGCUGUAGCCAUGCUGGACUUUGUCCAUCUACACAGUACCUACACAUCAGUACACCCAGAUGAGUGGGCAAUUGUAGCUGGACUAACACCACCAGAAUAAUUCUUACAUCUGCUUUCCAUCUGUCAUGUCCUCCUCAGCAUUCUUAAACUCCUUCCUAUGGAACAAUAAGCACGUCCAAAACAACUAAUUCAACUUGCUGCCUACUGUCUGUGCAAUCCCUAUAGGGCUUCUUUCCUCAGGGCAGACAGGGUCCUACAAGCAGCCACAGUCACUGAAAGGAGUGACACUAAUGAUCUCAGGAACCUUUGUUAGGGACAAGUCAUAACAAUUGGUAACUGUCAAAUCUUCUCUUCUCCCUGCCUAAAUCAAACAUUAGAAAAUUGUCAAAUGUUUUUUCUUCAGGCUAUACAUUUUUUAUCAAUGUCAAUAAUUAAAUUUAAAAAAUAGAAUUCUCUAUUUUUUUCUCUGAAAUUAGAAAUGACCAUAAAAAGAGGCUAUAUAUAUUUUUGUCAUUAAGUUCUCGACCAGGAGAUAUAUUUUAUUUGGAAAAAAAAAAUCCCUAAAUCCAUCAAAGUUAAAAAGAAAAAUACUUCUGAAAAAGAUCACAAAUCAAAACAUCACAUGAAAUAAGCAGAUAACUAGGCACAAAAAAAGGAAAAAAAGAGAAAAACUGGCAUCCAGACAGACAGAUAUUCCAUGCAAAAGAAGUGCUAGUUAAUGUCUUUUAGCAAAUCUGAUUCUAUUUUCAUCCCCAAAAUAUCCCUUCUCCAGAGAAUAUAUAAGAGAGAGCAAAGAAAGUUUUGGACUUUCAUAGUAUUUGUUCUUAUGAGGGAAAGAAAAAAAAGGUUAAAUUUAUUCUCUUUGGAAAAGGGAAGACUUUGAGGUGACCUACUUAGCUUCUGUGGUCUUUGUUACUUGGCAACAUAUGAAAUAGGAUGGCAAACAGAAUAAAUGUGUUUAAGAGCCAGAAAAGACACUUUUAUAGACAAAGGGGUUAAAUGAUAUAGUUACAAAGCAGAGAGGUGAGGUUAAAAUAAAUCUAAAGGAUGCAAUCUUACCAAGGCAUGUGGCCUUUUCCUGACCAACAAUCUUUUAUGUCCUUGUGAUAGGUUUAUUAAUCGAAAUAAAAUACAAAGUUUUACGUGUGCUGGCUCCAGUGCAGUAAGUAAAAUGGUAGGUAUAAGAAUGAAAAAUAAGAAUUUUAUGAAGCAUUUUUCUCAUUAAUGCCUACAUUUUGUUUUCAGAAGUAACCACAUUCUGUCUACUGAUAAGAGGUGGUAAGGGAGACAGCUUUAAAUCUAUUAAGGCUGACAGGUAUAUGGUUAUUUGAAAUACUGCCUUUUCCCCAUCCCAGUUCUCUCUUGUCCGCAAAUGUCACUAUUCUAAUCAAGCUACUGCUCUUCAGUAACUGCUAAUGUCAUCUAGACACAGAAUCAUGCUUUGGACCUUUAAAAUAUCUCAAAAAUGUGUUAAAAGGCUUAUUCAUUGUGUGAAAAAAAAACAAAGAAAAUUAAAGGGAUUAAACAACAACAAAGAUUUUUAAGGUGGAAGACCAGAAGUAGCUACUCCAAUCCUGCUUGACAUCUAUCUUCUACAUUUUGGUGUGAUUUACAGUACUUAAUUCUGUUAAUUUCCAUCUCUGAUUACUCUGCAAAGCAUCACUUCAGAAGACUAAGCUCAAGAUCAACCUUAGUGCAUUGCAUGAAAAUAGUUAUUUUAAAACAUUUCUAGUGUGAGGGUUGAGGUUAGAAGAAAGGAGUUAAUUCUGGAGGCAAGAUCUGGUAGUGACUGUGGACAAUUCCAUAAAAAUGGAUUCCUGGUUACAGGAACCAGGAAGAUGCUGCCCUUGGCAAGGUCAGGAGGGCUUUUGGACACUUUCUUGGGGAAUUUACAGCAGAAGGUGACAUCACAGAGCAGAUGGUGCAACCCAGAAAGUCAUGGUUGUUUCCUGCAAUUUAGGCACCUCUGACAAGUGUUUGGCUUCUGGCCAACCUGCCUCAUUUCCUCAUACCUGCUCCGAAAAUAAUUACCCUGCGCCCCCACUGGUACUGGCACUGGGGAAGGCAGGAAGGGUGAGGGCAAGAUCCAUAUCAAUAGGAUAUGGAUCAAUAGGCUCCUCAUGAGUUUGGAAGGUCCAGACUCAGGAGAAUGGGAAAGCUUGUGACUAGGUGAAGUUGCUCUCUGUAUGUACAUAAAAGUAUAUAUAUGUAUGCAUGUAUAUGCAGUAUAUUUUGCAUUUCUCAUAACCAGUGAAAUGAUGUCUUUUUACCUGCAAGGAAGCUUCACUCGGUCAUAAUCUAAAACAAGUGUAACUAGAUUUCAGCAAAAGAUAUUCUUAUAUUGUAACUUCCUAAUAGAAGGAGAGAUAAUUGAAACUACAGUUCAUUGAAAGCACUCAGGAUUUUAGGUGAAAUUUGAUCAAAUUAAGCAAAUUAAAAGCCAUCACAACAUUUAAAUUUAGCAGAAAAUUACAUAAAAAAUUACAGUUAUACGAUUUGUUAAGUUCUAACUAAUUUACAAGUAUCUGUUGAGGUGAGUAGUUUCCUUGGAAAAAUACUGCUAGAGAAUAUGAAACAACAUGGAGAGAUGCUACAUCAUUGCUAUAAAAAUGCCAGCAGAAAAAGUAAAUAAUCAAAUUUUAUAAAUCACCCCCUUUUACCUGCAAAUCAUACCAGACUGGCCUGUGAUUUUUUUUGCCUCUUUGAAGUAGAAUGUCAUAAAAGGAAAUGUAGUCAGGUGUAUGCAAUAAUCUGUUAUCCUGUCUCCAGGGAACAGAGAAGCAGGAAAUCUCAAUCCAAAAGACGAGAGAAAUAAUGAAGCUCAAUGCUUGUUUGUUUUCAAACAAACAAAUAAGGAAGCAAACAGGCUCUACACAACUUGGAGAUAAAUGCUAAUCUCAAUUGUUUUAACUUUGAUUAUACAAUAGUCAACUUUUUGAAAAUUGAACUAUUGUUCUGCUCCAAUUUCAAAACUCAAAUAGAAACAUAUUUUGCUUACAAUGAACUUUAAUUGCCUGAAUUUUUCAAAGGACCCUUGAGUCACCUAGAUAAUAGGGGUUUAGAUCUACUCAGCAAAUGUAAGCAGAAAAUGCACAUCCAUAGGGCAUCAUAAUGCGGUUGUUUCUGGCUCGGGCAAUAGCAAUAUUCUAAAUAUGUAAGUUUUUAUUCCAUAAGGGACUUGACUUUAAUCUCUUCAUGGAAAUAAGAGAGAUUAGAUGCUCAGAUGAAGAAGAUUGUCACAGUUUCGGGGCUUUCAAUGAAUGCAGUGUACAUUAGCUAAGAACCUUUAUAGCAACAAUCUAUGUUUCAAGGAAAUUUCCUUUCUCCAUCAAAGUCCAUCUAAAUGGUUGAUUACUUUUGCAAUAUGGUAACUAUGUACACUUACAAUCAAUUGCUUUAAGUGCAAAUUUUAUGUUGCAUGUUGUAGUUUUUUCUUCUGUAAUUCAUUUUUAGCACACCAUUUGUGAUAAAUAUAUUGACAUUUAUCCAUUGAAGGAGAGAUUGUGUUUGAACCUCAAGUAUGAUGAUAUUUAUGAUAAAAAUGUAAAAAUAACAAAAUGCUGAGAUGGAUCUUAGGUCCCCUGAAGGGUGAUUUUGUAGACUCUUAGCAGAAAACUAUCAAUACAGUUAUGAAUUGAUACAGCUAUGC